rnacentral:tRNA from 1 species
GGCUAUAGCUCAGUUGGUAGAUUGCUUGUCUUGCAUGCACAAGGCUCUGGAUUCGAUUCCCAGCACCA